UCAAAGGGAUUAUUAAGUAGCUAGUGGUUGCAUAAUUACGGGGGUAAUGAUGAGACACUGCCGGGAAUUUGGGAUUGGUGUACCCUGUUUACCAUUCUACACUGAAGAAAAGAAGAAGAAAGAUGGACAACUGUUUGCAUUGCAAAACUACUGUACGUCCCCGACAAGAGGCCAUUCAGUGUGAUACAUGUAAUUUAUGGCAGCACAGAACAUGCAACACUGGGAUCAGCAGAGACCAGUAUCGUCGAUUGGUGAAGAACUCGGAUGAGCUGGAGUGGAAUUGCAGCCAAUGCUCCAUGGUAUAAACAUAAUUUGAUUUCAAC